AGCCUUUUGAAUCCGUGCAAAGAUUUCUUCAAACACACUAGCACAUCAAGACUGAUAAAACUUUCAAGAUAAGUGAAGCU
rfam:Schistosoma margrebowiei strain Zambia genome assembly, scaffold: SMRZ_contig0000592